rnacentral:misc_RNA from 1 species
UAAAAUCAAUCCCCACGGGUUUCUUGACCUGGCGGUGGACUUGGAGUUGGGCGUCUGCCGGUCACACGGCUCGCCUUAAAGACCUUAGUGGGAUCAUCGGCCUAUGGCUUGACGUAAUAAGUUUCGUCUCGUCCGGCCCCUCGAAGCCCGCUCACAACCCGCCCUCGGGCAACUACUUUAU